CUGGGCAUCAAUCUAUGCACAACAAGCUCUUCAAUGCUUGAUGACAAAUAAAGGUUGCAUCUUAGAUAGUUGCUUGAUUUGAAUGAGCCAUUUUGCUGCCAGCUAAACUGUUAAAAGUCAGAUGUAAGAUUAUGUUUCUUGGCACAUGAGUUAUUUUUCAGUAAACGCGUGGCCAGUCCACUUCGAACUGAUAUAUGCACUUUUUAUUUGAAACUGAACCACCAUGGUUUAAUUUUAUUUUCAUUUGGACAAGUUACCCCAAGUAUCAUCAGUUCAUGAUGACUGGUUUGGUGUGGUGAAUUGAUCCUGGUGCUGAUUUAAGAGUUUUUUUAUGACACUGUCUUGUAAGGGGGUAAGGUCUGGUAUCUAUAUGGCUAUUAUUUAUCUCUUACGGAUUGCCAUGUAUGACAUGCUAAUUGUUUUUAGCUCUUGAUAUAGUUAAACUUUUUUUUCGAAACGAAGGCAAAAUAUUUGCCUCAUCCAUUAAAUGGGAGGAGAAUAGAGUUAAACUUUGGAUGCACCAGUGCCUGAUGCAUAUGUUUGUUUACUUGGUUUGAACUCUGAAUGAUAUGUUGUUAUCCUAAUUGCAUGCCUGAUGAGUUGGUUCUGCUGGUAUUUUGAGGAGGCAAGCUGUGGUUUUACUCCUGGCCCUGAGAAGGGUGAACUAGGCCAUAGCGAGGGCGCCUUCAGGAACAUCGAGUUAGGGUGCCUCACUUUCUAUUUCAGUUUGCGAGGUAAUGAAGGCAAAAAAAAGUUUCUACUCGCCCUGUUCUUGCAACUAAACAGAGAAAAACUGUGUGGUUACUGAAGCAAUAUGGUUUGUAGUUACCGAAGCAUUGCAUUUGUUGAGAAAGUGUUCCUUAUACCAUGUAAGUAGGGACAAUUACUAUUUAACUAGGUACAAUUAAUAUUUAACAAGCCACAAUUGAUCAAGCAGUCAAUGCUUAAAUAUGCCCGUACUCUGUCGUAUCCAGGAUGGAGCUUUGCUAGCUUUUGAGUUGGAUUCUCUUUCGACUACACCUAAAUAUGACAAACCAACAGUAAAUGAGCUCAUUUUAAAAAACUGCAGUUUAAAGGAAAUUAUUACAAUAUACUUGCUAGACCUUCUCAUUACACUCUUUCACUUUUUUGGCCUAAUACUAUCCUGUAUAGACCUAAUAACAGAAGACAUGGGAAAUGCUUUCGUAACAUAAUGUUCUUUUUGUUAGAUGCUCUGUUUAUUUAGUGUCGUUGAUCCAAAAACUUGAAAGUGUAGAAAUGUAACUGCAUGGGACUAUAGAACCAAGUAUUUCUCGAUUUGGUGAUGCUUUAUUCAGAGUUCUUGUGCAUCAGAUUGGAGUGUUACCACAAACCUGUUAUUUAUUUCACUUCAUGUGAGUUAAUGCCAAGGCCUUUUUUGUGUCCCCUCUAAUCAUUGCAUUUGUAUCUUGAUCAUUGUAUUAACGAAAAGCAAAAUAUUUCUCAUGUUUUGCUCAGUGUGUCUACUUCUCUUCUUUAUUAUAUUAACUAUUUUUGGAUGAUAUUUCACAAGAAUGACAUUGUUAGAUUUAGAUUCGUUAGGUUUCAACGCAUUUGAAUAUGACAGUUAUAUGCCUAUGCCUCUGUGCAAGUUUUACCCAAUGGUACAUCAGUGUUUCACUAUGAACGACUUCACUGAUUGUUAGGAAUAUUUCUUAUUUCACACUGAAGUGUUUAUCAGUAUGUUGGAAGAACAUCAUAGCCAAUCAGAGAAUGCAGGUGCUAGAUGUGCUAUAAUUACUCAUAUGUUGGCUGUUGAUAUAUGAGCUUUGAUGAACCUAGCUUCAGGAAAGUCGUUCUAUGCAUUCCAAUCCAAAAAUAACUUCAGAAAACUGAUUUUCAUUUCUGAACAUUAUUCCGUUAUCGUGGAUAUUUCCACUCUGUUUCAUGUGUGAUUAACAUUUUUAGUUUGCUAUUUCAUUACUAACUCCACAUAGACAGUAGACUGGUAGAUAGUCACUCAGAGUGUUUGAUCCUCCUAAUCACAUCAUAUCCGUCUCUACCUGCGGCUUUGGACAAAAACGUCCAUGCUCAAUACAGCUGGUUCCCCCAAGUUCAGCAGUGACCGUAUGAUACACCAGUACGCAAAAGAUAUAUGGGAUAUCAUCCCCGUCAUCAUGCUCUGAAUAAUUUAAGCAGUUUACAGAAACCUUGAGUCUGUGAGGCGCAAUCAGUCACAGAUUUGCCUCGACUCCUCAUUGGGAAGGUGUUGCUGCCCCAGCUUUGUGUAGGAACAUGCAAGUUCUGACAUGGACCUGAGAGCUGAGAGCAUGUAGUUUCGUCACUCACUCGCUGAUGGUUAUAUUAAAUCAAACCAAUUUGUGUCAAGCAUCUCUAUGAACAGGGAACAUUUUUUUGGUAGAAAUUCCAGAUGAACUUGAUAAGAGAGCAACAUCAGGAUUUUAUGUUUGGAACUAUUGAAAUUAUUUUGCCUUCUCUACUGAUGGCGCAAAGAACAUGAAGAAUACGAGAUAUAAUAGAUAGAGCAAUGAAUCUUAUCACCAAAAGAUUACAGAGGACAGUUAUCCCACAUUUUGGCAUGGUGAUGUUACCGGACGGUGUUCUUCCAUGCUAACUAUAAUGCACCCACAUUUUGUGGCGACAGAGCUAGGACAUACUAUAAAUCUAUGAUAGAUGCAGAAACGUGUUCUUCUAUAAGCAUGUGCUUGUAACAUGGGCAUACUAAUAAUUCCAUCAUGCUCCCUUCUCUCUCGCUCUUCUUUUGAAAUCCCAUUAUAUGAAUAAUAACAUGAAAAGAAUGGGCGUUUUCCAGAGCUUGGCCUAAUUUAAUAUGUUCUUAUGGUACUACAAAAAUGUUAAUAUGUUACUACAAUGUAUUUUCCAGAAAUCUCAUUGUUCAUUUACUGAAUAAUACUAAUUGCUAUCAUUUUAUUUUUCAGGAUACCUCUAAUUAUUUUUAAUGUGAUAUGUUUCAUUGCAGGGUGAUACGUAUGAAGGAAAAGAGCCAGAGCGGCGCUUGGAUAAAAGUCAGUGCUGGAAUUUGUUUGGCAUAUGCGGAAAUCUUGGUAAAGGAUAAGGACGCACACGGCGGUGAGGUUAGUAGGGGCGUAACAAACGAGAAGGGCGGGCGUGGCAAUGGCCAUUCAUGUGUCAGACGAAAAUUGUACACCCACAUGUGUGACGAGGCUGGACUUGACAUAUGCAUCAACGAGCAUGGUGAUGAGGUGAGAGUUGGAAGCGCGGAUGUACUUGACAAGGAGCAAGUAGAUGCGAGCAAGCAUGGUGGGCAAUGUCGACGAUGUUCACGCGAAUGAGAAGACCAAAGAGGAAGGUGAUGCAUGCCUGUGCAUAUUUGUGGUGGAAUGGACAGUUUGUGGGUAAUUAGCCAGUGUCUUUGGACAGGUUGUCGACAGAUAAAAGUUCUAUAGUUUGGCUUGAGGAGUAACAUAGACAGGCAUGCUGGUGCUAUAAGGCUAUAUCUCUCUUCGUGGACAAGAGCAUACAAUGCUUCAAGUUUCAUGGAAGUUUUUAAAUUCCAUUAUGAGGCUCAAUCUGAAAUAAAAUGGUGUCUUGCUUUACCAAACUCUUGAUGCGUCCGUGUUUCAACUUGUUAUGUUGUCCUUACCCUAACUUUUUCAUUCUUAGUUGUAAGAUACUACAUAUAUCUAAUGAUCCUCUGAGAAAGUAAUGAUCCUAUGGGAAAGGAACCCACAAAUUAUGUGGUUAGUGCU